UAGGGAAUCUUCCGCAAUGGACGCAAGUCUGACGGAGCAACGCCGCGUGAGUGAAGAAGGCUUUCGGUUCGUAAAACUCUGUUGUUAGAGAAGAACAGCGCAUAGAGUAACUGUUAUGCGUGUGACGGUAUCUAACCAGAAAGCCACGGCUAACUACGUGCCAGCAGCCGCGGUAAUACGUAGGUGGCAAGCGUUGUCCGGAUUUAUUGGGCGUAAAGCGAGCGCAGGCGGUCAAUUAAAUCUGAUGUGAAAGCCCCCGGCUCAACCGGGGAGGGUCAAUGGAAACUGGGUGACUUGAGGGAAGAAGGGGGGAGUGGAAUUCCAGGUGUGGCGGUGAAAUGCGAAGAUAUGUGGAGGAACACCAGGGGCGAAGGCGACUCUCUGGGCGGUAACUGAAGCGGAGGCAAGAAAGCGUGGGUAGCAAACAGG
rnacentral:rRNA from 1 species